GAUGAACGCUGGCGGCGUGCCUAAUACAUGCAAGUCGAGCGAACAGACGAGGAGCUUGCUCCUCUGACGUUAGCGGCGGACGGGUGAGUAACACGUGGAUAACCUACCUAUAAGACUGGGAUAACUUCGGGAAACCGGAGCUAAUACCGGAUAAUAUAUUGAACCGCAUGGUUCAAUAGUGAAAGACGGUUUUGCUGUCACUUAUAGAUGGAUCCGCGCCGCAUUAGCUAGUUGGUAAGGUAACGGCUUACCAAGGCAACGAUGCGUAGCCGACCUGAGAGGGUGAUCGGCCACACUAGAACUGAGACACGGUCCAGACUCCUACGGGAGGCAGCAGAAGGGAAUCUUCCGCAAUGGGCGAAAGCUUGACGGAGCAACGCCGCGUGAGUGAUGAAGGUCUUCGGAUCGUAAAGCUCUGUUAUUAGGGAAGAACAAAUGUGUAAGUAACUAUACACGUCUUGACGGUACCUAAUCAGAAAGCCACGGCUAACUACGUG
rnacentral:rRNA from 1 species